rnacentral:misc_RNA from 1 species
UUUCCGUAGGUGAACCUGCGGAAGGAUCAUUACCGAGUGAGGGCCCUCUGGGUCCAACCUCCCACCCGUGUUUAUCGUACCUUGUUGCUUCGGCGGGCCCGCCCCACGGCCGCCGGGGGGCACCCGCCCCCGGGCCCGCGCCCGCCGAAGACACCAUUGAACGCUGUCUGAAGAUUGCAGUCUGAGCAUCUUAGCUAAAUCAGUUAAAACUUUCAACAACGGAUCUCUUGGUUCCG